GGUGCUGGUUUUUCAAUUGCAGAGAUUUUUAUAACACGCAGUUGUAAGCCACUCUUAUCACGCAUUAUUUUCAAUAACCUUUUCUGUGAUUGGAUGUGUUUGUAUCCCUAUUGUAAAAUUGUAAAGCGCUGCUGAAUUACAUUCCAAACAUGAUGAUGAAAAUAAUGAGUGGGACAACUUGGGCAGCUAUUACCAAUCAUCUUAUUCGAGG